rfam:Camelus ferus isolate Naran unplaced genomic scaffold scaffold92902, whole genome shotgun sequence.
GAGGUUAUAGCUCAAGCGAUAGAGCUCAUGCUUAGCAUGCACGAGGUCCUGGGUUAAAUUCCUAGUACCUCCU